rnacentral:lncRNA from 1 species
CGGCUCCAUCAUCAAAUCCGCACCCAUUAUGUUCAAUGUCCCUUUGUGUUGCGUCGAGUUAAACACCAAGGUGUAGCAAAACCACGCAUUGUAGUCCAUCUUCAUGUCAUAGAAAUAGAAGCCUUGUGCGCGAGCUAGAGGUUCUGAGAGAUAGUUCUUGUCCAUUGUUAUGGGGCCAUCAAAGAUCACAAACUUACCGAACUUGAAGUUUCCUAAUCCUGGUGGGCUCACUAUAGCGGCUGAGGUUGCGUUUGCUACAUUGUCACCAUCGUAGAGGAUGUCAUGAAAGUAGAAGGAGAAGUGUUUGCAAGGUUUUCUCUGAUCAAAUGUUUUUCGGGACGAAAAAACUGUAUGGGAAAAGAGGACUAAUAAGAAGAAUGAGAAGAGGGACUUAAGGAGUUGUUUCUCUACAAGAGAUGCCAUGGUUAGCUAGAGACGACUAGUGAGUUGUGUAAAUUGAAGAUCGCUUACACCCCCAUUAAUAUAGAAGUUAUUCACAUGAGUUAGUGAAGAUAAUUUAUUUGGAUAAAAUGAAAGAAUUUUAAAAGUUUGAGGGGACUGCUAAAUUGGUUGUUCACGUACGUUUCGUCAAUUAAAAUAUAAAUUCGAUUGACAAGAAAGGUUUAAGAUCAUGUGGCGGGGUUGGUGCAAAACUAAGCAACAAGUUAAUUUCACUUUCUUGAAAGGUUUAAUGAUUUAAUACUGUUAAACCGGUUGGUGGCCUAUGUUGGAUCCAACCUCACAUUUUAUCUGUGCGUCAACACACAAGCUUUAAGAAUCAAACACAUGAAGUUAGUUACUAACAUUCAUAGAGUUUAACAUCCAUCUUAACACGGAAAUACUUAGCCCCUUGAAAUAUAUCCGUCACGAAGGUAGCGAUCCCACGAGCCAUGAAGAAAUCACCCGUCCCACCCACGACCGAUAGAUCUCUUGUCGGCUCCAUCAUCAAAUCCGCACCCAUUAUGUUCAAUGUCCCUUUGUGUUGCGUCGAGUUAAACACCAAGGUGUAGCAAAACCACGCAUUGAAGUCCAUCUUCAUGUCAUAGAAAUAGAAGCCUUGUGCGCGAGCUAGAGGUUCUGAGAGAUAGUUCUUGUCCAUUGUUAUGGGGCCAUCAAAGAUCACAAACUUACCGAACUUGAAGUUUCCUAAUCCUGGCGGGCUCACUAUAGCGGCUGAGGUUGCGUUUGCUACAUUGUCACCAUCGUAGAGGAUGUCAUGAAAGUAGAAGGAGAAGUGUUUGCAAGGUUUUCUCUGAUCAAAUGUUUUUCGGGACGAAAAAACUGUAUGGGAAAAGAGGACUAAUAAGAAGAAUGAGAAGAGGGACUUAAGGAGUUGUUUCUCUACAAGAGAUGCCAUGGUUAGCUAG